CAAGCCAGGUUUCUCCCCCCUCACUUUCUGCAGCCUUGUCUGGCCUGGCUGGGGGGAGGAGGAGACCUAGACAGAGCCAGUUACCUCAUCAGAAGCUGGAAACCAAAGAGAACAAGAAAUUCCUGGACUUACAUCUUAAAUCACAAGCUGGAUUCAAUUGGUGUACACACUCUGGUCUUCAUCCCACAUAGUCUUAAAUCCACCAGUGUGUCUUCAGGCAGAGAAUGGUGGGUGCCUGCAUGAGAAGCUGCUUUCCCUCAAGGGUCUGUACUGAGGUGAACUGGAAAUUUUGCCUGAAUAUUCAUAACUGUGGCAUAUUGGAAAAAAUAAUUCAAUAGCCUUCAGAAAGUUUCAACCACUCAAGGUAUUAAAUGUCCAGAGAGUGAACUAGAACAGAACAUGAAGGUUAAAAGAAACAAUGAAAUAAAUUACCAACAAUGGCUUUUGGGAUUCAGUUCUACUUGUGAGAUAGGAUGGUGGUUUACAACCAGCUGAACAGGUCAGCUCAGGUUUCUUCUCUUGUGUGGACACAGAAAGAAGUCAAGUUUAUGGAUUAGGAUUUCCUGGUGGAUAAACAGAACAAAAGCACACUUUGGCCCUCAGAAGGCUACAGCUUUAAAUCUACAUGCAUGACCUGCUGUGAAUCUUUUCGAUAGAAAACUUUCCAUGGCUGUGGUGUCAUCCAGUAAAAAUGUGUUUCUGUAUGCAUCUCCUUUUUUUAUUAAACCAAAUCAGGAGUUUUGAAUUUGUUUUGUGAUGUCAGGUGUACUUCUGGGUUUGUGAAUGUCUGCACAUGAAUGCAUUUCUUUGUGUACCUGUAUCCAUGAGCUCUUCCAGGUUUGCACAUGAACAGAUCUAUGAUUAAAAUCUUUUUUCUCAC